AGAAGUGCUUUCCGCGCUGGACCGUGUAUAAGUCUCUUGGAACAGAGCGUCAUAGAGGGUGAGAAUCCCGUCUUUGACACGGACUACCAGUGCUUUGUGAUGCGCUCUCAAAGAGUCGAGUUGUUUGGGAAUGCAGCUCAAAAUGGGUGGUGAAUUCCAUCUAAAGCUAAAUAUUGGCGAGAGACCGAUAGCGAACAAGUACCGUGAGG
rnacentral:ncRNA from 1 species